rnacentral:rRNA from 1 species
UACAGAGGGGGCAAGCGUUAUUCGGAAUUAUUGGGCGUAAAGGGCGCGUAGGCGGCCUGGCAAGUGGAAGGUGAAAUCCCUCGGCUUAACCGAGGAACUGCCUCCCAAACUGCUUGGCUUGAGACCAGGAGAGGUGAGUGGAAUUCCCAGUGUAGCGGUGAAAUGCGUAGAUAUUGGGAGGAACACCAGUGGCGAAGGCGGCUCACUGGACUGGUACUGACGCUGAGGCGCGAAGGCGUGGGGAGCGAACGGG